rnacentral:ncRNA from 1 species
UGCCCUUAAGUGGGGUGCUUGCUAAGUGGCAGGCUGAGAUGAUACCCAGGAGUUCUGCUCCGCACCUGAUCCAGAUAAUGCUGGCGUAGGGAUUUAAGGUUAUUACGGU